rnacentral:rRNA from 1 species
AGCGAACGCUGGCGGCAGGCCUAACACAUGCAAGUCGAACGAAGUCUUCGGACUUAGUGGCGGACGGGUGAGUAACACGUGGGAACGUGCCUUUAGGUUCGGAAUAACUCAGGGAAACUUGUGCUAAUACCGAAUGUGCCCUUCGGGGGAAAGAUUUAUCGCCUUUAGAGCGGCCCGCGUCUGAUUAGCUAGGUGGCGAGGUAAAGGCUCACCAAGGCGACGAUCAGUAGCUGGUCUGAGAGGAUGAUCAGCCACAUUGGGACUGAGACACGGCCCAAACUCCUACGGGAGGCAGCAGUGGGGAAUCUUGCGCAAUGGGCGAAAGCCUGACGCAGCCAUGCCGUGUGAAUGGUGAAGGUCUUAGGAUUGUAAAAUUCUUUCACCGGGGACGAUAAUGACGGUACCCGGAGAAGAAGCCCCGGCUAACUUCGUGCCAGCAGCCGCGGUAA